rnacentral:rRNA from 1 species
AACGAACGCUGGCGGCAGGCUUAACACAUGCAAGUCGAACGCCCCGCAAGGGGAGUGGCAGACGGGUGAGUAACGCGUGGGAACAUACCCUUUUCUACGGAAUAGCUCUGGGAAACUGGAAUUAAUACCGUAUACGCCCUACGGGGGAAAGAUUUAUCGGGGAAGGAUUGGCCCGCGUUGGAUUAGCUAGUUGGUGGGGUAAAGGCCUACCAAGGCGACGAUCCAUAGCUGGUCUGAGAGGAUGAUCAGCCACAUUGGGACUGAGACACGGCCCAAACUCCUACGGGAGGCAGCAGUGGGGAAUAUUGGACAAUGGGCGCAAGCCUAAUCCAGCCAUGCCGCGUGAGUGAUGAAGGCCUUAGGGUUGUAAAGCUCUUUCACCGAUGAAGAUAAUGACGGUAGUCGGAGAAGAAGCCCCGGCUAACUUCGUG